rnacentral:lncRNA from 1 species
CUGCUGCUGCUGCUGCGUACCGCCGGCGCCGGCGGCGGCUUUGGCCGCGCGGGCCUUGAGCCAGCCGACGACGUCGGCGAAGACCUCCUCGACGUUCUCCUCCGGCUCGCCGACGAUCUGGUGCCACAUCCCUGGGUACACGCGCAGCGUCUUGUCCCGGCUCCCCGCGCGGCGGUGCAUCUCCUCGACGCACGCCGGGUCGCACACCGUGUCCUCCCCGCCGUGCACCGCCAGCAGCGGCAGCUCCACCUCCUCGAACCGCGCCUGCAGCUCCCGGCACACCCGGAGGAGCUCGAGCGCGGUGGCGGCGCGGGGCGGCGCCGUGGUGCGGCGCNGGGAUGUUCCCCCUGGUGAAGGCGACGUGCCAUGUCGGCGCCACGGCGGCCGCCGCCCACAGCAGGUGCUCCAGCGGCCACGGCGGCUUGAACCGGGGGCUCACCCCGCACAUGGCGCCGUUGAGCACCGCGCCGUCGCGCCACCGGGCCUUGUCCCUCAGGUGCAGCAGCAGCGCGAUGGCGCCGCCGAGGGACUCGCCGUAGAGGAAGCAGGGGAGCGGGGGCGGGUGGUCGGCGCGGAAGGGGGCGAAGGCGGCCUCGCAGUCGUCCAGCACGGGGCCGAUGUCCGGGAUGUGGGCCUGGAGGCCCUCGGAGAAGCCGUGGCCCUGGUGGUCCACGGCGGCCACCGCGAAGCCCUGCUUGGCGAAGUGGACGGCCGUGAGGAGCACCAUCCAGCUCGACUCGCCGGUGAAGCCGUGGACGACGGCGAUGGCGCCGAGCACGGGGGCGUCGCCGCUCGGCACCCAGCGCUGCGUGAAGAUGCGGAGCCCGCGCGGGUUGACGAAGGUGGAGGAGGUGUGCGUGACGCCGUGCCGCGCGUAGUACUCCUCGGCGGUCAGCCCGCCGAAGGGGCUCCGCUCGUCGGCCUCCGCCACCGGAUGCACCAUGCCGAUGGCCGGCUUCUGUCCGAGCUCUGAGCGCUCGCCUUUCUUUGUUUAGUGGUGCGUUGUUGGAGUAGUAGAUGCAAACGAGGGCGAGCGGAGGGUUAUUUUUAUUUGGUACUGGUACCAGACUAGUGGUUGCACGGCCGUGUCCGGCAUCGAUCGGCAAAGGCGGAUGGGCCGAUGACGGCUGAUGAAUGCCACUACUGUGCUGCGGUAUGGUGUGGGUGUGCUACUGUGGUGCCCGUCGAUUCGUGCUAUCGAAAAAUACUCGAUUUGGAUCUGUCACUCGGCGCAGAGGACACGACGCAUUUAGUGGUCAGCGUACAGUGUGUAGACUUUACGGCAACUACUCGUUCCAAAUCAGGUACCGGGAAUUCAAUUCUCGUCAACCAGAUCUACUGAUUUUCAUUAGCGCGAUGCUACGCGUGGGCGAAAAAGAUCGUUCGCCUCAUCUGUUUUUUUUUAAGAUCCAACAUCACAUUCAUCGAUAAUAACACAGAGCAAUGGAAAACAUAAGAUGGUUAACGUUUAGGCUGGUCAUAGUGAGGAGUACUCCCUCCGUUUCUAAAUAUAACUACAUACGGAUGUAUAUAAACAUGCAUUAGAGUAUAGAUAGAUUCACUCAUUUUGCUCCGUAUAUAGUCUCGUAGUGAAAUCUCUUCAAAGACUUAUAGUCUUCUAGUGGAGUAUUUAGGAACGGAGGGGGUAUCAUAUAGUAGUAUCAUGCAUAUGAUACUAUUGUAUGAUACUACCUCCAUAAUGCAUAGUAUCAUAAACAUAUCAUUUAACAUGUUAUGGUAUCUACCUAUGUAACUCUAACCCUCUUUUUCUUCAUUAAUUAUCUGCCACGUCAGUAUGUUUGCUAGUCCUAAGUAUAUAAUACUCCCUCCUUUCCGGUUUAUAGGGCUCAUCUCAAAAUUUUCAGAUUCCCAUUAUAUUAGGCUCAUUUUGAGUCUAAGUGAGUUAAAGUGUUUUGAGUCUCACGCCAUAUUUAAUUCAUAGAGUUUAGAGAAAGGAGAUGAGUGGCUAUGUAUGCAUCUUUUUUACAUCCACCAUGCAAGUCCAAUGAAAGAAAGGAUGCUACAUUUAUUGCCUUGGAAAUUGAAUAUGUGAGAAAUAUUCCAUUGGCUAGUUUAAACUAGUGUCAUUCGCUCACAAUUCAUCUUGAUUGAUGAGAUUUCAUAUUUGAGCCAUAUAAACCGAAAAGGAGGGAGUACUACCUAAGUUAUUCCCACUAUGGCCAGCCUUAGGAUCAACAGAUCCGAAGAUCAAAGAAAAAGAAAAAGAAAAAUAGCACACGUAAAAAGUUGCAGCCUAACACUCCAAACAAACCACACUAGGCAGCGCAGCUUCGACUCCGACGACGAAUAAUGGUGAAAAACAAGGUGAGGUUGGCGUCAUUAUGGGUCACCGAACGGACCGCCUUUCACGCGUCAUCGUAUACCACCGGUCCCCCGCCGCGGCUUCACUUCACGGCACCAGACAAUCGAGACACAUCCAGGACACGUCGGAGAAGAAGAGACGGCUACCAUGACCAAGGCCACGCCUCGGAUAUUGCUCAUCGCUGUCAUCGUUGCCACAGAAGCCACUGUGCACGUUGAGUCAUAGGAAGCACCAAAGGGAUCACAGACAUCAAGACGAUGCCCUAAAGAGGACGCCACCGCCCGACCCUACAACAAGAUGUCGGCUUUCAUCCGAAGGACUUGAUCCGAAGGAACUGGUUGUGAGAUUCCCAACGACACCUCCAAGGAGGAUAGUAACGCUCACAAGCGCCGUCGACGUCGGCCGAUCAGCAUCGCCCAGGCUUUCGCUUGAGCAAACACUGUCGCACAGCAGGCCAAGGUCGACUCGUACCUCCAUUGAACGUGCACCCCCAUACAGCGAGCACGCCACUGCUGUGCAGGGCCACCAACAAGCCUUCCGACGACGGGCCUGCAAAGACUAGAUCGGCUCCUGCACCCCGCGUACAAUUUUAAAAAAGUGAACAAAUUUGGAAGCGCAAAUAAUCUUUUAAAGUACAAACAUUUUUUUCAAUUUUGAGAACAAAAACUUGAAAAGGAGAAGAAUUUUGAAAAACCCCAAACAAAGUUGAAAGCGCAAACAUAUUUUUGAAGCACGAAUAUUUUUGCAUUUUGAGAACAAAUUUUGAAACCGAGAACAAUUUUAAGAAAACAUGGACAAAUUUGGAAGCGUGAAUAGUUUUUUAAAUACACGAACAUUUCUUGAAUCUUGAGUACAAAAUUUCGAAAAACCCCAAACAAAUUUGAAAGAGUCAACAAUUUUCUAAAGAACGAACUUUUUUGAAUUUUGAGAACAAAUUUUGAAACCGAGAACAAUUUAAAAAAACUUGAACUAAUUUAUAAGAGCAAACAAUUUUUAAAAUACACAAUUUUUUUGGAAAACAUAAACAAUUUCUUACUCUAUAAACAAAUUUGAAUACAGAAGCAUUAUACAAACAUAGAACAUUUUUUUGUAAGAAAGAACAUUUUUUGAAAUUUGUGAUUUUUUUGGAAUGGGAACAUUUUUUGAACUUAUACACACUUUUUAAAACAGGAACAAUUUUGGAACUUACGUACGUUUUUUGAAACUGCAAAUAUUUUUUAGAAAUUGAAGAGUAUUUUUUAAACUUCCCGAUCAUUUUAAAAUCAUGAAUAAUUUUAGAGUUGGCGAACAAAAUUUGAAUAACUUUUCAAUUUGUGAACAAUUUUUUAAAAAAGAGAAACAUUUUUUGUAAAACAGGAUUUUUUUUCUAAAAAUGUGAAAAUAAUAACAUUUUUCUAAAAAUUGUGAACAAUUUAUGAAAAACGGAACAUUUUUUGAAAAAUCAUGCAGUUUUUUGAAUACGAGAACAAUUUUUGAAACACGAACAUUUUCCAAAAGAUGAACACAUUUUGGAAGCAGGAACUUUUUUGAAGCACGGGCAUUUAAAUAUAAACUAUGAAUAUGAGAAGAUUUUUCGAAAUUCAAAACAAAAAUUAUAAAAUGUCAAACAGAAAAAUAGGAAAAGGAGAAAGGAACAAAAGUGAAGGAAAAAUUUAAAAAGGAAAGAAAAACUUUUUUUGAGAAAAAGAACAUUUUUUUUAAAUGGCGAACAGUAUUUGAAAAUAUCGGACAUUUUUCUAAAAUACCGAACAUUUUUGGAAGCUAGGAAUGUUUUUGAAAAACGGCAAAUAUUUGAAAUUUAGAACAUUUUUAUAAAAUCAUGAACAUUUUCUGAAUUUCAAGAAAUUUUGCAAACACGAACUUAGGUUAAAAAAUAACCAUACAAAAAAAUAAGAAAAAGAAACAUAAUCACAAAAACGAAUAAACCAAAAAGAAACAGGAAAAGGACAAAAAAUGAAGCAGAAACCGAAAGUACCUGCAGAGGAAGAUGGGCCGGCCCAGUUUGUCGCGCACGUGUGCGUUUGCCCUAGGGUUUUCCGAAACGGAGAGGGUCCAAUACAUGGAGGUCCUCGUGGGCUUGAUGAGGCUCAAUCAUCGUGUGAAAUUGGCCCAAUUAACCAGAGGCCACCUAAUUUUCUAGUCGUGUAGUUGCUCGUUAGCACAAGAGACCAAGUUAGCGAGAAGUGCAACACAAACAUUGACCGGACAACCAAUAAGACCCCAAACAGAUGAUCUAACGACCAAAAUCGGUAGUGACGUGAGAAGGCUGGGUUUAGGAUCUAUUUUAAUGUUCUAAAAAUAUAUAGCUCUUACAUCACUUGCUCCGACUCGUAGCACACCCACUGUGUACCGUGUCAAUCGCUAGCCACCAACGACUUGCGGUUGGGUCCGGCACCACAUCCUCAAAGACCAAAUCAUCAUACUCAUCCUCCGCAAUCCCAGGCUCGGCUGUCGGUUCAUCCAACUCCUUUUGUACCUACGAUCAGCACGAGGAAGGUUCCGCCAUCUUAAACCCUAGGGCAAACCCCAGGAGUAAACGGCCUUCAACAAACCCUAAACUUCAACCAAGCCAAGGCCGUGCAGCAACCCGAGAUCGCCCCGUGAUCAACCUGAACGUAGAGGACAGAGGAGGGGCGCGGUGGCGAGGUGGAUCUCCACGACGGCGCAGUCGCCGAUAGGAGGGAGCCCUAAUGAUAAUGAGAAGAGAAAAAGCGAUGCAAUAAUAAGCCUAGGUAAAAAAAUCAGUACUAUAACUAGUUUUUUGGAAGAGGCAAUCUGGUGUGUAAUCAACUCAAUGAGGCGGUGGCAUAUCGUCCUUGUCGAUAAUGCAUCACCCCGAGUGAGUGGAGCGGCGGGAGCAAUCGAUUCAUCUUUUGAAUCGCUUGCACGAGUGGCGACGACGCGGCUAUCUGCGCCGGCAUGUCGGCUAACUUGCUUUGGAACGAACCAUCGUAUUUGUUCCAUCAUGUGGCAGCGCGUAUGUAUGUAUCUACCAUUCUAGCUACAACCGAAGGGAAAGGCGUCAAUAGCUAGUGGAGGCUCCGGCCGGCUUGUUUUGGCACGUACACGGUGCUCGUUGAGUUGUAAAGUUGCACAAUACAGCAGCCGCUAGCCAGCACUCCAUCUGCAAGAAACAUAACAAGGAUCAGUGCUACAAUAGAGGCCCUGGUAAUGGUGCGCCCGUUGAGUGGAUACCAUCGAUCGUUCUGCAAAACGUGCCGCCGCUACUCGUCUCACGUUCACACACGCGCGCGCCACUACGAGCUGCCAGCAAAAUAUCUCCUGGGACACCUAGCUUAUUCCACCACCGGCCAUGCAUCAAACCCACUCACGCAGAUAAGAAUUUGACUAUAAAUACACAGCCAUGCCAGAAUGGCCAUCCCACACCAGACCCUGCAUCGAGCUACAAAGCUACAACCUACAAGAGCACCACUAAAGAGAGAUCGAUAUACACAGCCCAUACGUACGUGCACUUCCACUGCCGGACUUGCACCGAAGCAAUGGCCACCAAAUCCACGGCUUGUUUCCCGGCGCUCUUCCUGGCGCUGAACCUGCUGCUGGUCGCCGGCGUCCGCGGCCAGGCCCCCGCGGGCGGCCGGAACCCGUGCCCGACGAACGCGCUGGCCGACCUCAAGGUGUGCGCCGACGUGCUGGUGCUGCUCAAGCUCAAGAUCAACGUGCCGGCCAACCAGCAGUGCUGCCCGUUGAUCGGGCAGCUCGUCAAGCUCGACGUCGCCGCCUGCCUCUGCGCCGCACUCAAGCUCAACGUCAUCGGCAUCCCUAUCAACCUGCCGCUCGACGUCCCCCUCGUCCUCAACUACUGCGGCCGCAACGCAACAGCCGCCGGCUCCAACUGCUCCUGAAGCAUAUAUACGCGCGGACAGAAUGCCCAUGCAUGCAUGCAUGAACUACCUACGUGCGUGCGUGCGUGCGUUAUUGGUGUUGCUUAAUUUACAUUCUCACAUGUAUGCCAUAGGUUUGUUGUAUCCCAAGAUGUUUCGUUGAUUGGCAUGCCGAUCGAUGAACAUCCCGAAGGGAAAUCACAAGAGUUGUUUGUGUUUUAUACUGCAAAUAAUAAACGUUCCUCCAGUUUGUCAACUGCAUGUGGCUGCUGAUUUCUCCGGUGUACGUCCAAGCGUAAAUGUGAAUAUGUGAUCUCCUCUCUAUUGAUAUGCAUGGUUUUUCAAUUUCAGUGUGAUUUCACUGAAAUUUCAUGAAUUUCAGUUACAUAUUGAAAUAGCUAUCUUUCGGUGAAAACAUUUCACUAAUUUAGGUAGCGUACACAAAUUCAAAUUAAUGAUUUGGUUUUCAAGAUAUUUGGCUGGAUCCCAAUGAAGUACAAGUAUUUUUUUUGAUCCGUUGUCCGAGACCACUAAUUAGCAUAUGUAGCAAUACCUAGAAGAAGAAAAGCUUGCGUUUUCCCUCAAAACUGUUAGCUGGCUCCUUUUCUUGGGUUCAAAUUAUCGUGGAGCUCACAUGAUGAUCUAUGACUCUCUUCAUCAGCAAUGGUCGAUGCUCUGGCUAUGUGCGACCUUAGCAUGGCCUUAGCACGGCGACUUUUUGAAUUUUCAUUAUCACAAAGUUAACAAUGCAGAUGUAUGGAUUGAAGGAAGCCUUUCCUCUCAGGUCGCUCUCGGGCGACUCUCGAGGACCCCCACCGCCACCCUCCUAGUCCACCUCCUCCACGCCCCUACCCCUCGUUGUCGUUGGAGGAGGCCUCCAGGCUAAGCCCCUCGGCGAACGGUGGCCGCAAGCCCACGCUCUGCUCUCCCCGCACCAUCAGCCUCCUCUGGGGGUCCAAAUCGAAUGCCUCCCGACCUUCCUACACAGAGUUGCCAGAUGCCCGCCAGACAAUGCGUGCUAGCCCUUCAUCGAUGGCCGCCGCUACAUGUUCCUCAUUGUCAUCGUUGGGAUUGGCUCCCAUGUUGCUCGCUAGAUCCCGCCACGACCACUAGUAGAAAACAGGGCUUUCUGCCAGCUCGAUUUACACAUUAGUCCCGGUUCGAACGGCAAGGGCGCCGGUCUGACAUCGUUCCCGGUUCAAAUGCUCGAACCGGGACUAAAGGGUUUGGAGGCUUUAGUCCGGGGACUAAAGUGUAGACCUUUAGUCCCGGUUCGAACCACGAAUCCGGACUAAAGGGGUUCUGAAUUUUUGUUUUUUUUCUAUUUUUCUAUUUUCUGUUUGUAGUUUCUGUUUUAAAUUGCUUAUAUCUUUUAGGAUAUUUGAUGUUUUUGAGUGAUUCUUUUUGCAUUAGAUUCAAAAUUUUGUCUAGUUUAUGUUUGUGCCAUUAGUUUUCAAAUUUGAAAGGCUUAAAUCUGAAUUUGUUCAAAUUUCCUUCAAACCCAGAUUGUGAAUAACUUGAGUUUACAAAUAGUUUUUAAUUUAAUUCUUUUUGCUCCUAGUCAUGUGUUAGAUUGUUGUCACAGUAAGAUUUACUUGGUUAUUUUUAGAAUAAUUUAAAUUAGGAUUUUAACUAAAACAAUAUUGUUUUGCUUAUAUAGUUGUUUUAGUCAUUUAAUUGUUGUUUUAUUAUUAUUUUUAGUUAGUUCUUUUUGUAGAUUUUAACAUGUUGUAGUAUGGUGCAUAUUGAAUGCACAAAAAUUCUAGAGCUGAAAUAGUUUUAAAAAAAUGCCUUUGUAACAGACGAGUUCUCGUCCGAAACCUUGAUACUUAGAAUGAGAUGAUCCAGUUUGUACACGAAGUGCAUCCAGUCUUUGCCAUAACUCUCUCAACUUUGUAGCACAAGCUAUGUGGGUGAAAUGAUGAUACCAUGCCAAGUUUCAACCUUUUCAGAUUUCAUUUAUCGAGCUUUUCAAUUUCAGGGUCAUUUAGCUCAAAAAAUCAUUAAAUGCAUGAAAAAUAGCAAAUGAAGUUAUAAAGGGUUGGAAUUUUAGGAUGUGGUUUUGAAUGGUGUAUAUUGAAUGCACAAAAAGUGUGGAGUUGAAAUAAGUAAAAAAACGAAAUGCCUUUGUAGCAGAUGGGUUUCGUCUGAAACCUUGAUACUUCGAAUGAGAUGGUCCAGUUUGUACACGAAAUGCAUCCAGUUUUUGCCAUAACCUCUCAACUUUUUAGCACAAGCUAUGUGGGUGAAAUGAUGAUACCAUGCCAACUUUCAACAUUUUCAGAGUUUAUUAUAGUGCAUUUCAAUUUCAGGAUCAUUUAGCUCAAAAAAAUGAUUAAAUGCAUGAAAAAUAGCAAAUGAAGUUAGAAAGGGUUACUCUCGCUUGGUUAACCUUAGUUGUGACUCUAGUGGGGACGGUGCUAGCAUAUAUUGUCGACGGUAUGAUUGGACUCUUCGCUAAAGGGGGAUUUUGAAAUUUUCAAACUCUACCCCUUGUACCGUCAUUUUUAGUUCUCUAGAAAAUAAACAAAAAUGAUAAAUCUUCAAAAAAUAAAAUUCUUUGAGAUGUAGUUAGGUUUUAGUGUCUAGUUGGUAUAGAAAUUUUGAGAUAUGAAUUUUGACCAUUUUUGCAAAAAAGGAAAAUAAAUUUAAACGAUCAUAACUUUUGCAUACGACGUAAAAAAAGUUUAAUAUCUAAAAAAAAAUUAGAGAAAAAUUGGGACUCGAUUUCACCCGGGCUUGCCCAGUGAAGUUUUCUCACAUGCUCAAAAUUCCAAAAGUAAAGAAAGUUAUUUCAGAAAGAAUUUUUUUCCAAAAAAAUCAGAAAAUAAUAAUUUUAUUUAAAAAUAAAUAAAUGAUGUCAUAUUUGGAUUCAUCACAUUUUUCUGAUAAUAAUGGAUAUAUUAUUUGUCAAAUUUAGAUUUACAUAUUUAAAGAUAUUAAUUAUGCCAUAUUAAAUGAAUAAAUGGCAAAAAACGAAUAAAAUAUUAGGAUGUUUUCAUUGAAAUUCACUAUUAUUACUACUUAUUUUGUUUAUUUUAACAAUUGGUUGGAAUUCAAAAAAUUAAAUCGUGUGACAUGACAUCAAGACCUAAGGUUGUUUAGGAUUGAUAGCUUACUAUUGUCACGAAAACAACAAGUGCAGACUUAACAACUAGGGAUGAUAGAACCAGAAAGUUAAGCGUGCUCGGGCUGAAGCAGUGAGAGGAUGUGUGACUGGUCGGGAAGUUAGAUGAUUUAGAAUAAGUGCUCUACGGUGGAGCAGUGAGGAUGGGUGAUUAGAGAUUAAAUUGGGGGCAUCUACAACCGGGGCUAAAGGGCCAUUUUCUACUCGACGCGUGCUGCUCAAAGUUAUCUGCUUCAGCGGGUGCUCAGCAAAACGCAAAAAAUUGACCCAAAAGCAAAACUAGUUCACAAAAUGAACUAUCCGCGAAAACCCAACUGGUCCUUUUUUGUGACGUCUUUGUCUUGAGCGUCACACUAGUGUCACACUACACUGUGUGACGCCCGACACUAUGUUGUGAGACGUCCGAGACCUAGUGUGACGCCUAAGGCAUAGGCGCCAUAUUACACUGUGUGGCGUCUAAGGCAAAGGCGCCACACAUUGUAGUGUGGCGCCUAACUAUCGGGCGCCAAACAAAAGGGUCAGCUGCGUCAUUUUUUUUCAAACGUGGUUCUGUUUGUGAAAUACUUUCGCUCCUCGAUCAAAUACUUCCACAUAAAAGGAUGAUCAUGAACCAAGUUCUGUUUUUAUUACAACUGGUGUUCUCUAUACUAUCAUAAUUGAUGAAUUGAUUGAAAGUUUUUCGUGCAAAAAAUUUAAGAAGCACAAGGAAUAGAUUUGAAGUUUUUCUUGCAAAAACAUUUAAGAAGAACACUGAGUAGAUUGUGAAGAGGAUAAGACGAGAAUAAACAUGAUCAAGAAGCACAAAACUAAUGGUCAUGUAGCUACCACUAAUUAUCAACAUGAUCAUCAUUAACCGGCUCAUUUUUUAGGGCUAAAAGUAGCUUUAAGACUAUAAUGUUCAUGGGUAUUACUCCUAUAAUGGAUGUAGGAGUAUCCGCCUCAUGAAGGGCCUUUAAGGGCGAGCGUAUCAUCCGCGCCAUCAGUUAUGUGGUGGCGUGCCGCGCUUCGGGGCUCUCUGCGCCGUCCGAUCGGUUCAAGCGCUCCUACUUGUUCGAUGAACGUUUAGGUCAUUGACUUGAGGGAAAGUUGUUACUUUUAUAAAUUUGUGCACUUGAGACUCAUCAACUUCCUAACAGAGAGGAAGCAAUGAACACCAAUGAUUAGAUGUCAAGAUAAAAUAAAUAUCUUAUGCACUCUAGAAUUUCUAUUUGCUCGUUACUAAUCAUACAUUACAAACAUAUAUAGGGGGUAUUUAUCCCUUCUAGUUUACCUCAUAUUUAAAGGAUUCCGGUUUAAGUAAGAAUCCAUUCCAUAAUCAUGCCUUGAAUACAGACAACUUUACUUAACUUUUAACUUUUCAAACAAUCUACAAUUUAAAUUUAGAGGCUACAAGUUAACUUUUGAAGGACAAGUGUUAGGAUUAUAUAAAAGAGCAUUUGUAAUAACUUCAGCAAUCUUACAUUAUUUUACUUAUGCAAAUUAAACUAAAUGGUAGAACAAAUUAUUUUAGUUGAGAUUAUACUAUAAUAGAAUAAACUAAAUAGGUACAAAAUUUUGGUACAAAUACUUACUUUAUCUUCACUCAUGUUAAACAAGACAACCUAUAGUCCAUAUAUCAUAAGUGAUCAUGUGAUCUGGUUGCCAAAUCUAUUUUAGUACAUGCUUGGUGCGUAAGUUCUCUGCUAGAUAGUCGUCGCAUACUCGCUUGAACGAGCGGUAUCGAUGUAUUGAGCUAAAAACAUGUUUGUUAUUUUAUUACCAUUUGUAUUAACGGGCCUCGAAUUUCAGUUCCGUCCCGGGCCCUUGAAAUCUCAGGACCAGCCCUAGUGAGCGUGGCAUAUAAACAUGAAUUUGGUGGUAGGCACGAUUGAUAAAAACAAUCUUCAGCAUCCCUACGGCAGGAACAAUACAGCUGAUGAGAUUUUUUCGGACGUCUCCAUGAUUUCGUUGCCAACAGUUUCGGGACAUAUCACCGUAAUGGGGUAUAGUAUUGUAUGAUGUUGGUUAAAAUAUUCAUCUAGCAUACACCCUAUGUCCAAAGUAAAGGUGGGAUAUUUUCUAUGCAGACAUGAAAUGUUAACUUGUGAGGACAGAACUACUCAGUAUCACUGUAUUUUUUCUUAGGGUUGCACAUAGAGCUGAUGUAGGCUAAAUUAUUAAUUUUUCACACUUACUUUCCAGUCAGUAUAGUAUUGCACUAGCGCCGAAGAAGCGCGGCGCACGCCGCACCCAUGACCGAUUCCGUCCGUGUUUUAUCGAAAUAAGCAAAACAACAACAACAUAUAUUACGCCAUGAAAUAAAAUGAAGAAGAUAACGUGAAAUCUAUCUUUAUUCCAUGAUCUAUGUAGGCACGUAAUCAACAUUAAGUGAUUUAAUAAAUUAAGCAAACCGGCUGGCCUAUUGAUUUAUUUUGGUAUGUUGUUCUGGUUUAUUCUAGUGCAUUGUUUUGCGGUACAAUUCAGUUACUGUUUCAAUUUAUGGUUCGACUUAGUUAAAGUUUUUAGUUUAUUCAGAUAUUAUUUCGUUUCACUGGUUUUUCUUUUCCAUGGUAUUCGUGGUUGUUGUUUUAGUUUAUUUAGUUUAUUGUUUUGGAUAGCAUUUCUAGGUUUAUUCAGAUAUUGUAUCAUUUUUUUGGGUAAUUGUUAGUGAACUAUUCACUAAUGUUGUGAUCUAAAAAUGGACAGUAAUCGAUAAAGAUUAAUUUUCCUAACAAAUUACUGUUCAUGCGAAUAUACUGUUUCGACCUACUGUUUUGUGCCUCGACAACAUCAUCACCGGAAAGGAUUGGGAGAUGAUUGAGAUGGUUCUGUGUCGGUAUGCCGAUGAAGAGAAAUAAUGCAUAAAAAAUUCCUAAAUCUUAACCCUUCUUUAUAUAAGGACGUGAUGGUGGAUGAUGAAGAAAGAACUGUUGUAUAAGAAAGCUUUUUGACGUGCAUAUUUUUUCUCCUUGGAAGGCUAAAAAAAUAAGGGGAAAUCGGAUUUUUCAGAAUGCACUGUUCAAAUAGGCAUUGUUCGUCGAUGACACACAUCCAUCCACUGUUUCCAUGUAUGUACUGUUUAAUAUUACUAUUCACAGCUACACACAUAAUUUGAACCGUAGAAGGUAAAGAAAAUUCUAAAACUACUACUAUUCAUAGCCGCCCAUGUAAUUGAACAGUAGAAUGCAGAAAAAAAUGCCCGCAUAAUUGAACAGUAGAAGGCAGAAAAAAAGUCAAAAAAACCAGAGAAAUGAAAGCUUGCCGGUUUAGUAUAUAGUAUAUAUAUAUACGGAAAUUGCUUUUGGCUCCCGAGCUCCAUGAAGCCCUUUAAAUUUAAAACUCAAAUUUCAUGAAAAUUCAUAUUUUUACAUUCCAAAAAAUUCUGAAAAAAAUACAGGGAUAAGUGAAGGCGUAACACACAUGUGUGUAAAUUUUCAGAAAAAAAACAUUGAAAUGAGGGUUGUGCAAAAAAGACAAAUCUGAGGCUUUUUUACACAUGACACUAUUCAUCAUUUCAGGUCAUGAAUUUGUUUUUUUAUGCAGAUCGUAUUUCAAGGUAUUUCAUCCUUAAAUUUUGCACACAUACGCAUAACAUCCUUCUUUACUUCCAUAUUUGUUUUCAGAUUUUUUUGAAACCGAAAAAUUUGAAUUUUGAAUUAUUCAAAAAUUUCGGCCUUCAUGGAGGCCGAGCUCCAAACGUCUAUAUAUGACUCAGUUAUUUAUAUAUGAGUUGCGGCAAGUAUUUGAAUAUUGAAAGAAAUGAUACCAUCAUGAAUCCACCAAGAGGUAUAAUGUAUAGACAAAUUGUGCUCCGUUAAUCUUAUUCUUCUCCCUAUAAUGCCUUGGCUACUAACUAAUUUAUCUUGUUAUCUCUCUCAGCCUAGGGCGAGUCGGAAAAAUCAAUGCAAAUUCAGUUGAAUUUAAGUACUUAGAAAAAUAACUAAGUAGAUCAAACUUAAAGUUUUAUGACCAAGGCUUAAGUUUCAGCUUCACUUGGCAUACCAAGCUAGGUUAAAUACCAACAUUGUUUAUUUCACUCCUCUUUUUCUUGUCUUGCAUCUUCUGGUACACGGCUUCUUCAUCGGUGGCUUGGAUGAAGAAGGGCAAGUCGACCAACUUGGCGACCAAGCUGCCACUAGCUGAGUACUGCAUGCAGUAGAUGAACGAGGUUAUCUUGGGAGGGGUGGAUUCCCUAUUCUGGUCCGCUCGAGAUGUUUCACUUUGGGGAGUUUAUUCCCUACUUCCAAGGUGACAUAGAGUGGGGACAAGACAAGCUACUGUUCUUUCGUGUGGAGUAAAGUGAAAAAGGUGGAUAAAAUAUUUUCGUUAUUAGCAUACUUCAAGUUAUUUGAGCUGAAUAAUCAUAACGCCCCGAAAUCACCCUUAUAAGCUCAUUUACUCUCUUGUGUCGCAAUUUCAUAGGAGCUAGGCAACUCAUCAUUAGCAUGUAGUAAGAAGAAAGUUGUUUUCAGUCCGAAAAUUGAAAUUACCUUUGACAAAAUUCAACUAACAACUUGAGGAUGUCGAUCUCGUGUUGGUCGACUCUGCGAGGGAAGGCCAAAGGAGAAAAUUCGGCUACAUAGGGAGGAGAGCGGUAAGCGGCACGCCCACGAUGCUCUAUGUGUGCUGGAAGGGGUGGUAAUAAUAGGGCAGAGCUUAGUGUGGCGACUAGACAUCGCGGUCACUCAUUGCUAGCGUUAACUUCUACAACCGUUAAACUGAAGCUCACCGGAUGCAUUUCUCUCCCAUGUGAAGUGUUGACAAUGAGCAUUAUGAGCUCUCUCGCCAUCGAGAAGUGCCGAAGAGAUGUGCAAGGUACAUGAGGUUAUCGAUUUGAAGUAGUCGUGGAUAAAUUGGUCACGACCGUUAAGAAAAUAUUCACACACCCCGUCGCGACCAUGGAUGCUAUAUCUUCUCGUUUCCAUUUACCUCCCAUUUAGAAAGCAUUAAGCAACCUCCUCCAAGUCAUCGGUUUUGAACAAACCAUCUAAGGUCGAAGAAUCCUCGAAAUAUCUUUCACAAUCGAUCUCAUAUAUAUACACAAGUUGUGCAAUCAACGUCAUCUACACUAAACACGAGUUGUGUAGAAUCAUGAAAUUUGAAUUUAAAUUACCUCUAGGGAAUGCUAAUGAAGAAAUUGAGCUCGAUGGUGGCCAAGCCUUCGAGAGAAGGUCGGAGGAGAACCGCCCACCCCCCACCGGGGGGGGGGGGGCUCACCUCNAAACUAACUUGCCCCAACACUACAAGAAGGUUGUCAAGCUUUUUGUCUUGCUAGUUGCAAGGUUAAAUUGCACGAGAUAAUGAUAGUUGAUAGAAAGGUAAAACUAACUUGCCCCAACACUACAAGAAGGUUGUCAAGCUUUUUGUCUUGCUAGUUGCAAGGUUAAAUUGCACGAGAUAAUGAGAGUUGAUAGAAAGGUAAAAUGGUACAACAAAAGCUGGUAAUUAUAACGAAGAUUUUAGUGAUGGAGAAUAGACCUAGUGGGCAUAGUUUCACUAGUGGCAUCUCUCAAACAUACAAGUGUGGUGUGAUGACAAACUACAGUUGGUCAACGACUAAAUUGUAAUAUUUAUAUUUAUGACUAUGAACUACACAUUGGCUUGUCUAAGGGAAUCUUGCCACACUUUUUGUGUCUAUGACAUGUGGGGUUUAGUACUCAUUGCUUGUCUAAGGAAAUCUUGCCAUACUUUUUGUGUCUAUGACAUGUGGGGUUUAGUACUCAUUAAAAAAUGUUUGCCUUGGGUGUGGCUAGAACCAAACACCCACCUAACUUGGUCAAACUUGUCUAAGGUAAGUUGUGGCAAAGUGUGGCAAGAUGUGGCUAGAAACCAAACAGCCCCAUAAUUUGAGCAACUCAAGUAAGGCAAGUGUGGCAAGUGUGGCAAAAAUAAUGUGGUAAGAUAUGGCAAAGAUAAUCACAAUCCAAACAACCCCUUAGAGAUAGCAAUAUUUUCUCAAAAGUUCUUCUAAUUUUUAUGGCAAAGAUCGAACAACAUGUUAGCAAAGUCUUGUUAGAAAGUUCUUCGUUUCUUAGAACGUUCUUUGUAGUUUCUAUAAAUUCCUUUGGAAUUUUUGAAAAAGUUAUUUAGAAAAUAUUCAUGUAUUGUUAGAUCGUUCUUCAGAAAAUAUCCCAAAUAUUUCUUCAUCCAAUUAGUAUGUUUCAUGUAUAAAACUAAGGCCAUAAUAAUUACAGUAGGCAGAGAAUUCAGAGGUAGCCAUCGGAAAGGUCCUUGUUCUAGCAAAUUUCAGCUAUGAAUUACAAAAGUACAUCAAGAUCUUCCCCGUUUUCCUGUUUAUGGAGAGAGGCAAAACAAGAGCAGCCAUUUGCCGAAAACUGCAGGAGAAGAAACAAAAUAACACCAAUCCAUCUUUCAAAAUGUUUUUUUUGAACGAAAGGGGUUUCCCCCCUACCCCAUUUUUAUAAAUGGAGCAGAAAGCCCACGAAACGGCUACAUAGCAGUAUUAACGAAGCAACCGAAAAGUAAAAUCUUCCGAAAUGUGUUGGAUGAAAAAUCCAUCACAUAAAAGCCACUAUCACACAUGAAACUAGAUGCAACUCUUGGCCAAGAAAAAACAAGGAGACAAAUUGUUGCUACCUUUGAGGAAGACGGGGAAGAUGAGGAGCAGCUCUUGACCACCGGCGUGCUUGCGGGAGGUGUGUAUCUGGGCUUUGCCGCCAAGCCGCUUGACUCCUAACUGCCUUAAUGCAUAGAUCUAGCAACCACCGAGCUGCUCACAGUGGUGGUGAUGCUGCUGCUCGUUGUUUGUGGAUGCCCAGCAUCCUCUCACAACGAGGCUCGAUGGCCAGGAGGCAUCUACCCUGCUCCAUCUUACCUUGAUGACGGAUCUGGCAACAAAGGCAACAGGGCUUGGGCGGAGAACUGUCGGUGAAGAAGCACGUCACGGGGAGAGGGCUCGAGUCCAUCGAGGAGGAACGACCCAACGGUGCAUGGCCACAGUGGGGAACGAGAAAGAGAAGAGCAGGGGCCGGUGGGGGAACGAGAGAACGGAACCGGAUCAUCAAGAAGAGAAGUUAAGUAAGCUACAAUGCCCAUUAGUGUAAAACAGAAAAGGGAAGUUACGGUUAUUACAGGGAAUGUUGUAUGGAUCUAUUGUAAUAGGUACUUUAAAAAGUUAGUGUUCAUAAAAAUAAAUCUGAAAUUAAUUUUAUCGCAUUAAAGUUUUGAUCUGGUUCUCAAGAGAACGGGGAAGAACGCGCGGAUGUGAGUGUAUUCGUGCCGCCACGUAUGGCACUGAGAAAAAAGAAUAUAGGUUGUUGGGUCGGACCAGGUGGGACACACUCGCACGGAUCCGCAUGUAACAGCAACAGCAUCUAUUCGAAUUGCGCGCCAACUGGUUCUGAUUCGCUAAAAUCGUCAUACGAGCUGUUGCGAGACGAUUGGCCAGAUACGACAACUCUGUUAAAGUUGUUUUUUUUAAUACAGUACAAACGCAAGCGCUCGUAGAUAUGUACAUACAUUCAUUCGUAUAAACGAACACACGCAUAUCCUAUCCCUAUGAACAUCUCUGAAAGAUCGAGUCCGUAUAUCGUCUUGAAAUCUAUGAAGCCAUCAUAAGCACCUCGUCGUCGACAGAAACGUCCAUAUCAGUAAAUACGCAUCACGAGAUAUCCUAAAUAAAUACAGAAAUAAAUGCAAGUACAAGGAUUUAAAUCCUUAUGGAUUAAAAUAUCUCAGUUCCUGUAACCAUCUAACCACACAGUUUCUUUUUUUUUUUUAGAAAUCUACCGUCGGUUCGCUGUGCUAAAGUCGCUCAAACAUCAAAGGAGAUGCAAAACCGUGACGUUGGCCGACAGCACCAGUGGGACAGAUUAGCGCGCUCCAGCGGCGGCGGGAACCGUUUGCGCGCGCGCGAAAAGGCGGCACCUUGCGCGCCAUUUUUGCGGCGCCGCGUCCCGCGUGCCUAUAAAAGGCAGCACGCUGCCGCUCCCUCGCGCCAUCGAGACGCGCUCUUUCUUCCUCUGCCUCUCGCGACGCCGCCGCCGCCCGCCGCCCCAGAGUGCCGCCACCGCUCCAGCGGGCCGCCCCCGACGCGCCACCAUGCCGCCGCGCCGCCGUUCUGCGUCGGGCUACCGCGGCGUCCGCCAGCGCCCCAACGGCGGGUUCUACGCCGAGACACGCUCCGGCGAUCUCCGGCUUAGCCUCGGAACCUACGACACGGCGCACGAGGCCGCCCGGGCGUUCGACGCGGCGGCGUGGCGCCUAGGCAGGCCGCGCCUCCAAAUGAACUUUCCGGACGUCCACACGCUCCAGCAGGCGUUAGACCUCGCCCCGCCGCCUCGUCUAAACUCCGCACAAGACCGUGCGGAGCACACUGUGCUGCAGCGCCGCCUCCUCGUCGCCCAGGAGGACGAGCGGGUCAUGGCGGAGUGGCGCUGGCGCCACCCGGAGGACGUCGCCUACGAGCAGGAAUAUUGGGCAGGGCGCCGCGAGGAGGACACGCGCCGACGCCGCGAGGAGCGGUUGGACAGGCGUCGUCGGAAGGCAUUGGCGUGUGCGCAGGCCGACCUCAUCAAUGCAGGCGGGAGGUCCUUCUUCACUGAAAAAGAUGAGCAUUGGUUUGACAUCUGGCUGUCAACCUCUGACGACACCAACGACGAUGAUGAUGGUGCAGAUGACUGGAGCGACCAGGAUUAGUUUUUUUGUUUUCGAACUAUCUAGCACCGAACUAUCUAUUUAUGUUUUCGAACUAUUUAUCUAGUUGCAAUCUAUGUAAAAUAACUUUGUAUCCUUUUUAUUUAAUGCAAUCUAUUUUUAAAAAAUGUUGUACGCGUGCUGCAUUUUUAGGCACUGCUGCAGCGACGCACGCACGCUGCAUUAUAUCGCGGCUGUUGGAGCCAGCGCCUAUUCCUGCGCUAAACCAGCCGGCGCGCGCUGUAAAUACAUUUUUUUGACGCGGCGCGAAACGCGGAUGUUGAAGAUGCUCAGUAUCCAAAACAAGUCCUUGGCAUCGCAUUGCCUCGGAGUUGAGACUCCCCGCGCGCGACACCAUGCCGGCAAAAGCUGCACAAUAUUUUGGGCACAUCGACAGUUCCGUCAUUUCUUCCGGUGAAAGUAUUUACACACGGCCAUGCACUUUCGUAGUAACGAUUAAAAGAAAAAAGAAGAUGAAUCGCAGCAACAACUUCCGGCGGCAAAACAACAACGCCAUUCCAAGACACACAAAGACACCACAAAUCCUUCUCUUCUCCGCCAUGCUAUUCCCCCCUACGAAUCAAAGAACCAGCAAAAAAGAAGAGCGAGAGCGGCGGCCGCGACCGAUCGGCGCGGUGAGCUCAGGACAGCGACGCCAGCGACGAAGACAUGCUGCCGCCGGCCUUGGCCACGCCGACGUAGUUGAACGACGACGCCGACAGCCGCCUUGCGCCGUGCAGGAGCUCGCCGCAGCGCCCGGCCCCGGCCGCCGACGACCGCGGCCUGUCGAGCUCGCCCGAGGAACGUCCACCGCCGCCGCCGCCGCAGCUGGACCCGCUGCUGCCGCUGCGCAUCGACGGGGCGGAGCACGUGAGCCUGCCGGCGUCGACCCUCUUCCGGUUCAUGCUGCUCGGCUCCGGCGUCCUGCUGAACCCGCCGCUGCCGCUGGGCCUCUUGAGGCGCGGCAUCGCCUCCUUCUCGCUGAACAGGGUGCGCAGCUUCUUCUGCUCCUGCAACACGCCAUCAGUUUUACUUCAGGUGAGCUCAGACUCCAUUAGAACUCCAGCAAAAAGCGCCAUCCAAAAAUGCGGUGAGAGCGAGGAUGGUUUAUCAUUUAUUUACCCGGAGUCUCCGCCGCUCCUCCUCCUGCCUCAGCCUGGCUUGCUUGUGCUCCUCCAGCACGGCCACCAGGCGAGCCUUGACAAGGUAAUAAGAAACGCAAGAAUUCCAUCAGCCGCCAUGGAAAUUGUUACCGCGUGCGUAAUAUGCUGGUGCAGCAUUGGAGCUGAAGGUGGCCUCUUACCCCGUCGUACAGAAAUGGCUUCUUCCUUUCGCUCUCCCACGCCAGCGUUCGACUCAUCAGGUUAUCAACAAUAGCUGCAGGUUGAAGAACAGUCGGUUAUUUCUUGCCCCAACAUUCUUCUGAAUUCAUAGAUGCUUCAGUAAUGUUUCAUAAAACCCAAAUGUGCAUGUGCGUGCCUGGAAUCUUCAUGAUGAUGACCCUGGCCUUCUCGGCGCGUUUCAGGUUCAGGCGCGCGGUCCUGCCGGUGCUGAAUCUGUUCUCAUCCUGAUUGAAACCAGCAGAUGAGAUCAGCACCCAAAGAUCACUGUCCAAUGCACCGAAAUACGCAUUUAAAUUGUAUGUAAGAUUUGUACAUACCACGUUGUGGUCGUCGAGCCAUUUCUCUUCCUCGCAGGCCAGCAGCCACUUGUUGAUCUUCUCCAUGAUGUCCUUCCUCGACUGAUGCUCUUCCUUGGCCUUGGCUAUCUGGUCGUCGAUGCUGGCCAUGAGCUCAGAAGGGUUCACGAGGCCUGAUACAUUGAGAUGCAGUCACCAUUAGCAUUGCACAUUUGAAAUGCAUUUCAGUAAGUACAGAGAAGCUCGGCGUAUCUGAAUUCUUUUCCCAGUACUAAAACUGAACAAGAAGCUUGUGUCUAAAGUCUGAACUCGGACGCACGUACCGGAGUCGAUGAGCGCGAUGGACUUCUCCGGCACGGUGCUGGCGUCGGGCUCGACGUGCAUGCUCCGGCAGAUGUUCUCCAGCUCCAGCCUCCGCUUGAGAACGAGUUCCUUCAUCCGGCCGGCCUUGAGCCGCGUCAGCCUCUCCACCUCCUCCUCCGUCUUCUUGAUGCUGGCCAUGGACAGCACGCCGGAGGACAGGACCUCCUCCUUCGCGGGCCUCAGGACGGCCGCCGCCUUCUGGAAUCCCCGCCGCUCCUCCACCGGCGAGUCCAUCAGGUCCCACAGCUCCACCAGCGGCACCACGGCUUCCCGCAGCUGCGGAGCAACCAUUAACGUCACGUUGGAGCUCGGAAACAGAGGUCAGAGGGGAAAGCAUUAAUGGUGGUGGUGUACUGGUAAGAAAUGUACCAUGGCUGCUCGCUUGGCCUUCUCGGCGGUGAGCAUGGCGACGACCUGGGAGAGCCUGGUGAGCGUGGUGUCGCUGAUGCUGGUGGGCUUGCCGGGGUCGGCCUCGUGCAGCCCCGGGUGGACCUCGUUCACGAUGGCGAUGAAGUCCUCGCCCAGCACGUCGCACAGCGAGUGCACCUCCGUCACGUGCUCCAGGACCUUGUGCAGCCGAUCCGACUGCAACAAAUUUUGCACUAGCCGUCAGCUUGUCGCCAUCAUAUCCAGAUGUUGCCCAUGAUCGUGAUCACAUAUCGAAAUUUUAUACUGUACUUGACAAAUCACAAUCCUUGGCAUGUUGUAAUCUUCUGAAGAUCAUAAAAUCUCUGUAAUGAUUGCUAGGAAAUAUUGACGUGAAUGGACCGGAUAUCUUGAUGAACUGAUGUCCUACUAACUAGCUGUUGAUUGGUCCGUCUUAAACAAAGCUAAAAUCGAUUGGAUAUCUUGAUGAAUGGCUUAUUUUAAGCCAUCCCUGUCGGAUGUAUCCAUCGACUGCUAAAUGAAAAGCUGUAAAAUUCUGAAGUUUCAGAACAAAUUUCCUACCUUCUCUUUCUGAAGGGUGGACAGGCGUGCCUUGUACUCGUUGAGCCUCCUGAUGGUCAGGUCAUGGCCGUCGCCGGCCCUCGGGGAUGUGUCCUGGCCGUGGCUCCGCCCUGCGAUUUCGGCGCUGAUCUUCUCGAUCUCCGACCGGAUGUCGGUGAACUGCUUGCUCCGUUCUGCUCUCAUCGACCGCAGCUCUUCCAGCAGACCCGUCGCCGAUGACACCCGCUCGUUCAGCGACACGGUCCAUUUGUUUACCUAAAUAAAGAUGAAAACAAAGGGAACAUCGAGUAAGUUUCAGUAAACAGGUCAUGAUUUCAGUAAGCAACUUGAACAGAGGCCUCAACUAAUGGCACUGAUCGGUCAGCGAACUGCACUUCUUUUGAUGUCAUUACGGACUACACUUUCAAAAGUAGUUUCACAAAGCUAAACUUGCUUCAGAACACAGCAUUUGUUUCUAUGUGUAAUUAGUAAUCAGAAAAGUGCGCUGCUAGUCUCAACUUAGGAGUAUGUGCUGCGAAAAUAUAAAGAUGAACAUAGUUCCAUGCGCACCCGUAUAAAUAGUAAAUUCGAAAAUAAAUACUAGAAAAAUUCAAAAUUUUGUUUUUGGGUAGUAUCCAACUUGAUCGACCAUUCUACUCGACUGCGGAGUUUCGUGAAGAAAUGACACCCGUGGUAUUCUUAAUGGAAUAAAUACAAUCGGCACCAUACUAUUCAUCAAACCAUGGUUUUUCUAGUUUAUCAUUUUUGCUCAGAAUACCACGGAUGUCAUUUAUUUAUGAAACUUCAUACGCUAGUAUGCCAGAUUACGUAUGUUACCAAAAAAUUCAGAUUGUUUUGAUUUUUUCUAGUAUUUUCUUCGAAUUUACUGUUUAUAAGAGGUACGCGUGGAAUCAUGUUGACCAAAUCUGUGUCUGUAUGCUCUUGUAAUUCAUCUUUGUCUUAACUCGUUAAAAAGGUCCAUUGUUGUGGCAAGUUGACCACUCCACGGUGCUAUCCAAGUUAGUUAGGACUUAGGACCCACGCGACAGGUACCUCCAUUUCUCUCUUCAUCCUAGCAUCAGUUAUAUAUUUUUAAAUAACAGUAGUACUAAAAGAGCUUUAUUCCAUGAAACUAUUCGUUCUAUUUCCCUUUAUGGAUUGCUUGAAAAGGCUGUAUAUUUAAGAAAUAUUUACUCCAUCAAUAUUAGAUCGAUUGACACAAGUUGCUUUUGGAGGGAAUCCCCAGUCUUUGCAUCAAUAUCAAUUUUACAGCUAAAGGUUUUAAACUUUUAUUAAGUUCUGGAAUUCGCGUGCUCCAAUGGACUUCCUUCAGCUUGACUCUAAAAUGGAGUGCGAAACCAUAUAUUUUGACUGAUCAUGUAAAAUAUCAUAAUAUUGAGAAUAUAACAUUUUACAGUCGUAAUUAAAUUUUUUUGACUACAAGAUGGGUGCAGGGAAGGGAGUACCGGCGGGAUUGCCGGCUGCCUGCCGAAGGCCCCAAGUAAGUAGGUUACCUUGAAGUGCGUGGAGUUUUCGGCGCCGAGGGCGGCGGUGAGGGCGGCGAUCUCGGCCUCGCUGGCGGCGAGCGACUGGUGCAGCAGCGCGCGCUCGCCGGUGGCCUCGUCGACCUUGCGGCGGUACACCCGCGUGCACUCCGCCUCCAGCUCCUGCACCAUCCGCUCCCUCUCCUCCCGGCUCUUGCCGAUCUCCCCCCACAGUUGCUGCACACACACACAUGACACAUGUCAAACCACACAGCACAGGCACAGCACAUGAACACAGAACAAAGUCCAGCCGGGAGAAGAUCAACGGACGGACGCACCCUGAGCUCCGCCAGCAGGGGCGCGCAGCUGCCGACCUCGGCGCCGCCGCCGGAGAGGGCCAGCGGCGCCAUGCUGUACAGCAGCUCGGCGGCGACCUCUCCCAUGGCCGUCGUUGCGCUCGUGCUGGCCGUUGGAGAGGAAGAGACGACGAUGCAGAUGCACCAGCUAGCUAGCUCGAUGGAGAGUUGGGUGAGGGUUUUAGCGUCUCCAGCUAGCGGGAGAGAGACGUCGUUGGUUGAUGGAUGGAUGGGUGGAUGCGUCGGGUGGAGAGAGAGCAUAUAUAGCUGAAAGUGCCAGGCCCUCUGGUACACGACAAGCGUGUAACCACUGACCAGCCAGCAGCCGCGUUGAUGUUGUUGAUGAUGAUGAUGAUCGACUGGCUCCGUGUAGGGCAGAGCAGAAAGGGAGGGAAAUUGGAAGAGGAGGGGAAGCCUCUGGCUCUAAUAAAGCCAGGGUUUUGGUGCCGGCGUGAAUAAUAUGCCUGAUUUGUGUGGGUUUUUUAUGCCCACUUCUGGCUGGGGGCUGCAGUUGGCCUGGAACCAUCGUCGAUCCAUCAUGCAUGCAUGCAUGCUGGUCAUGAACCCUGAUUCUAAGAUAUUUAUUGAUUGACACUUGCAGACUUGCUUGCGCGCGUCACAAACAAAGCAACUAAGAAAGUCCGAUGUGUUCGCACCAUCCGUUGCAUUCUCACGUAGAAGAAAGAAUAAGUGCUUUGAUUGGCAGGCCAAGUCAAAUAUCAGAUCGAUGUGCAUAUAUAUAAAAAUAUAUACACACUCUGCCCAUUGACAUGACAUGCACGAGAAGUAAUUGUUGUGAACUCUCUGCCGGCUAGCUGUCCCUACCGUGAUUUUGCACAACAUUAUAUGUUUAUCUCGCUAGUUUAGUGCAACGUGGGUAUCAAUCCUCGUUAGGUACUAUGUUUCAUAUUUACGUCAUGACUAGCAGAAGUCCAAUAGAAAGAAGAAAAUCCGGACCGUGCAAUGGAAAGAUGUUUGGCCGUACUUUUCAUGCAUAGGAAAAGGAAGAAAUUGCCAUCUGACUAAGAUUAAGAAGGGCUAUCCGAAACAUAGAUAAUUUGCAUCAUCUGUUGCACCCCCACAUGGAUAUAAGAAUAAGCUUGUUUUGCAGGCCAAGUAAAAAGUCAGAUCCAUGUGAGCUGAGUGAUUAGGUUCUUUUCGCAUUGUCAAUCGCAUUUUUUCGAAUUUAUUUCAGACAAUGCUGCCUCAGUCUUCUGAAGAUGCUCAUAAGAAUAUGAUGUAUAUGUAUAUUUACAGGGAUAAAUUUAUAUACGUAUAUAUGAGUAUAUGCAUCUGUAUUACUCUGUUGCUGACAUGACAUAUGCAUGAGUAGUUGAUCGAUGACUAAACCAGUAACAACAAAAUUGACAAGUACUCAGCCGGCCGGCCCUGACGAGGAUUUGCACUAUAUGUGUCGUCACUUUAGUGCAACAUGUGUAUUAAUGCAUGUUAUACCAUUUCUAACUGAUCCCCUAAAAGAUCAUAAGUAAGUAAAAAUUUGGUUUUACUUUCUUACCGUGUAAGGGGGUAAAAUUUAUACUCCGACCCCAAUUUUUUUUCCUAAAUUUACUUCAUUGAAAUGGGCCGGGGUAAAAUUUAUGCUAUCUCUCUCUUGCCUCCCUCUGCUGUUGUCGAUCCCCUGCCGCUCGCCGCAGCCGCCCCCGACCCCCCGCGCGUCGCUGCUGCCACUGCUCCCUGCGCGUCGCCGCCGUCGAUCCAAUGAUGCCCCGCCGCUGAUGCUAACCCGUUGUUGCCUCCCCGUUGCUGUCGCUCGCCGCCGUUGCUGCUGCCCCGCUGCUUGUUCGCCGAUGUUGCUGCCCUGUUGCCGUUGACGCUGCCCUGCUACUGUUUCCGACGUGGUCACCGUUGUCACGGACACGCAUAGCAACUGUUCGUCAAAAUGCAUAAACCAAAAAGUAAGGUACGGUCAAAUUUUAGUGAAGUAAAUAUACUUCACUAAGCUUUUACUCUGUGGGAUAUUUCGUUAUUUUUAAGGGAUCGGCUAGAGAUAGCCUUAGGUACUACUAUGUUUCAUAUGCACGUCAGGACUUGCAGGAUUUUCAUAGGAACACGUUACAGUCCAACGGAAAGAUGUUUACCCGUACUUUUCAUGCAUGGGAAAAGAAAGAAAGAAAUAGCCAUCUCACUAAGAUUAAGAAGAGCUACCCGAAAGGUGUGUGUGGUGUCUAUCCUGUUAACUAUUGAUGCACCCAUGCAUGAUGUCGAUCGACAUCGACAGCGAGCAAACCCCUCGAUUAUUGUUCGACUAAGCCCUCUUUAGCUUUCCAAAGAGGGUUUUCCGGGCUUUUUUCGCGGUAGGUUAGCAAGUGCAUAAAUAAAGCAGGUCAACUACUACCCGGAAAUAGACCACACACCAGAUGCCAUGAUUGGGAUUGUUCCUUGCCAGGCUUCUUUAUCUUUGGGCUAGCUUGUCUCACGGUGGUUGCAUGCAUGCAUUGGCAGCGGCAGCGGCAAAGCUGAUGAAUGAUAUGCUUGGGUUGUUGGUGCAUGACUAAUCCCCGAAUCCUAUCCCAAACCGGCGGCAAACCCCCGGCCAUGCUUUUGCACCUAUGCCAAUGUGUUUGCCAGCCCAAUAUUUGGCGUGAGAAAACUAGGUGUUUCGUGCGCUUGCAUGGGGCCUAUGCCUGAUGCAAACAUUCCAACAGUCCCAAUCAUCAACGGUCGAUGCCUUCUGGAUUGAUUGGGCUGAAGAAAGCGUGGAUAAAGGGCCAGCAGACUGAUUUGACGGGAAAAGAAUCGCAUGCUCGCUUCGGUGGUUCAUAUAUGCUUCAGGCGGGUGUUGGGUGUCGGGUUCACGGAAGUGUAUGGUGCGUAGCGUACCUCUCAUGGAAUUUUGUUCAUACGAUCAGUCUAGCGAAGAUGUUUUCAAGAAACAGGCUUGAGACUCCAUUUUCCUUGUCACACCCGUAGGCGACAGGGAGGGCUCCCCCGUCGCACCCGCCGGUCCCCCUCUCCCCCGCACUCCUCCCUCGUCGCCGCUAGAAGGCGUGGCCGGGCAACGCCUGGCUCGCAUCGGCGGCGGCGGGGCCCUUUUCCUCCUCGCUCAGGGUGCUGCGGCGGGGCGGCGCGUCGGCGUGGGGCGCGGCGAGGACGAUGGCGCUUAGUGCCCCUGGGACGGCAGGGCGCGGGUGGGCCGCGACCUGGAGUACCUUGCGAUGGAGGGGCGUGCCUGCACCCCUGCUGAUCUGGAUCGGGAUCUAGCCCAAUCUGAAUCCAGGGGGUUGCCGACGACGCGGCUGACAGUCACGACAGUGCCCCUGCUGCGCGGCGGCUGGAGUCUCCAUGGUCGGUGAUGUCGCGACUGUGUGCAAAUGGAUGUCUUCGAUGGUCGUGGAUCACGCGUCCUGUCCAGAUCCAUCUCGGUUUGGCCUUGGCCGACCGAUGGAGUGAGGGGGACCGGUGAGGGGCGAUUGGAGGCUCCCUGCCGGCAUGCCGACGUCGGCCCUCGACUCCGCGGUGAGGCUUCGUUCGGUUCCACCCAGCUGCGAGUUCGGGGUGACACGACUUCCAGUGAAAAUCACGCUGACUUUGGUCAUGGCGAAUGAUGGCAACGUCCAGGAGGUCAUUUCCUUCUCAAGGCAUCGUUGUUGCGGGUCGUGGCACCCCACUCGGAUGAUGGUCCGAGGGAAACCCUAGAUCUAGAUUUACCGGAUCGACGAUGAUGGCACCUUCGAUGCCGUUGUCCCUCCUCGGGCAUCGUUUCAGAGAAAAUGAUGGUUGGACGGGACAAGCGAAGGAGUAGUGUUGCAUUCACCGCAAGGUCGAUGACGGAUCCUGCUGGCAUGGCGCUGCGGAGGUUCAGCGACAGGCGUGUGUGGAAGGAUACGUGCAGGAUGGUGGAGUUGUCUGGCGUCAUGAUGGCGUCGGCGACAGGACAAGCAAGGUCUAUGCGUUAGUUCUUACUCUGGAGAUGGACCGGCGGAAGAUGGCGGUGGCAUCCUAUGAGAGUGCGCUCGACUGGGUGAACCCAGUCCCGGUAUGUGGCUGGAUUGGGGCACCCAGCUAUAGAUGUUAGGUUUUGGUGCGAUAUCUGUUUGGUAUUUGGCCUGAAUAUUCGGCACACCUUCAUCAAGGGGAUAGGAGUAGCAACAAGUGUUGCCUAGAUUGUGGCUUAGGGCUGACUGAUGUAUUACUUUGUAUGGUCUUUGUGAAUAAUUAAUAAAAUGGUUGCAUGCAUCGUACAAAUGCAGAGGCCGGGGGUUUAUCCUUCUUUUCUAAAAAAACUCCAUUUUGUACAUGAAGUAGUAGACAGUCCAUACAUGGGGCACCAUAAUAAGCGAGACAAAACAUAUUCAGUGGUUCAUCGGCGACGGUUCAUCGGCGAUUGCCGGGUAGGAGAUAGACUGGUGCCAAAGCAUGAGGUCUUCAUCAAGGAAGCCCAAAACCGAAGCUCGGUAAAAGAGAAAUGAGAUCAACCAGAUGGGAUGCCCGAUUACCAUUACCGCACUCGGCAUAGGUAAAUAUUUCAAUUUGGUUUGUAACAAUGUUAAAUUGCCAGAUUUUGUCUUUCACAACGCCGCCACAUAUCACUGGUUGACGCUUGAGUUCUUGAGUACCUUGAUUCAAAUCGUUGGAAAAUACCCAAGGGAGGAUGAGGAUGGAAUGCUUCUACAACAUUAAACAUUGUGUAUCCAAACUUGUGCUCGCAAAAGUUGUGUAUCCAAACUCCAAUCUAAACAUUGGCGCAAUGCUUCUACAACAUCUCAACCACCGGUCAAAUCAAACUCGCGGUGACAUCAUCUGUGGAAGAGUCAUUGUCGUCUUAGUCAAUGAACUUGGCCUCGACUUGAGAGUGCUUCACCCUCUAGCUGGUAACAAAUCUCUUUUUCUUUUAGUACUUAGAAGUGUCGGUAUGAUCGUUGCUAGAAACGGUAGAAUUUUUAUCUGUAUUCAUGGAGUUGGACAUUUAUUGCCAACUCCCAUGCCUAAGUAGUUCUCUAUAGAGGAUGGAAUUUUGCAUUAUAAUGCACAUGGGGAGGACGAAGAGGAAGACACCAAAGCAGCCAUGCUGGAUGAUGUGGGGGGAGAAGAAAUUGUCGCGUCCGAACUAAAGUAGGUCAAGCCCUAGGUGUGGCUAUCUUCACGAAGUGGAGGUGGAUUUGUGGAACAACAUGAAGAACAAGACACAUAUCCAAAGGAAAACACAAGCGGAAAUUAGUAUUGUACAAGAUCCACACCAAGUACUACUCAAAUCUCAAGCCAAUACAAGAGGUGCAUCAAGAUCCAAGAAUAGAAAAGGAAAGCAAAGUAAUCUAAGGUAGUUCUUCCCCAAUCUCUAAGGGAUAUGGACGUCUUGAGAGACUGUUCUUCCCCAAUCUAUAGGAUAUGGAUGUCUUGGUACAUCCACAAGGGAUUCUUCUCCUAUAUGAGGCCUUGAUCCUCUAAGAGGAUAUAACAAUGAGCAAAGAUCUCUCGGGAGGAUGCUUUAGUAACCCUAGAAAGUGCAACAGGUGUGGUUUAUAUAGUGAGGUACAAUUUAUAUAGUCUAGGGAUGAAGGGGUAGGUGGGGAGGAGAGAUACAUGACUUUUCAGAAAGGCCAAUUCAUAGCAUAAGUAGUUUCUUGCAAUUUUAUCGUAUUGGAAACAUAGAGAGGUGAAGAUUUGGUUCCCCUCUCAUAAUAAUUGCAAGUAGGAGUGGCAAGCACAUGCAUAUUAUAUUCAUCAAAAUCAGCAUGCGCAAUGGUAAAACACAACCCAUCAAUAUAAUCCUAAAUAAGUGAAAAAUUCUCCGAUACGGUGUAUAUGGGAGUAUUCAAAAAGAUAAUAGGACGAUCAUGUGUGGGUGCAAUAGCAACAAUUUCAUUCUUGACAUACGGAACUGUAUCAAGUUAAUCUUCAUAAGCAUAAUUCAUAUUGGCAUCAUGACCACAAGCAUAGCAAGCAUCAAGUUCAUCAAAAAUUGAUAUUUCAAAUGAAUCCAAGGGAUCAUUGUUGGAAAUAUGCCCUAGAGGAAAUAAUAAAAUACUUAUUAUUAUAUUUCCUAUUUCAAGAUAGUCAUUUAUUAUCCAUGAUAGAAUUGUAUUGAAUGGAAACACAAAUACAUGUGUGGAUACAUAGACAAAACAUUGACUAGCUCGUUGAUCGAAGAUGGUUAAGGUUUCCUAGCCAUGGACAAGUGUUGUCACUUGAUAAUGGGAUCACAUCAUUAGGAGAAUGAUGUGAUGGACAAGACCCAAACUAUAAACGUAGCAUGUGAUCGUGUUAUUUCGUUGCUACUUUUUUCUGCAUGUCAAGUAUACAUUCCUAUGACCAUGAGAUCAUGUAACUCAUUGACACCGGAGGAAUGACUUGUAUGUAUCAAACGUCGCAACGUAACUGGGUGACUAUAAAGGUUCUCUACAGGUAUCUCCGAAGGUGUCCGUUGAGUUAGCAUGGAUCAAAACUGGGAUUUGUCAUUCCAUAUGACGGAUAGGUAUCUCGGGGCCCACUCGGUAAUACAACAUCACAAACAAGCCUUGCAAGCAAUGUGACUAAAGAGUUAGCCAUGGGAUCUUGCAUUACGGAACGAGUAAAGAGACUUUCCAGUGACGAGAUUGAAAUAGGUACGGAGAUACCGACGAUCGAAUCUCGGGCAAGUAACAUACCGAAGGACAAAGGGAAUGUUAUACGGGAUUAACUGAAUCCUUGACAUAGAGGUUCAACCGAUAAGAUCUUCGUAGAAUAUAUAGGAUCCAAUAUGGGCAUCCAGGUCUACAUAGUUGUCGAACCCGUAGGGUCUGCACACUUAAGGUUCAGUGAUGUUUUGGUAUAGUUGAAUUAUUGAUGUCGGUAACCGAAGGUUGUUCGGUGUCCCGGAUGAGAUCCUGGACGUAUCCAUUCGGCUUCCGGAAGGUUUUCGGGGUGGGUUUUGGAGUUCUACCGGGAGGGGCCACCCACUCGGGAAGGAAUCAAAGAAGUCCAAGGGUGGCGCACCAUCCUCUAGUGGUCUGGUGGCCAGUGAUACGUCUCCAACGUAUCUAUAAUUUUUGAUGGUUUCAUGCUAUUAUCUUGUCAAACUUUCGAUGCUUUGUAUGCCUUUUAUAUCUUUUUUGGGACUAACUUAUUAACUCAGUGCCAAGUAUCAGUUCCUGUUUUUUCCGUGUUUUUGACCCUUUUCAGGGGAGGAUUUUAAAUGGAGUCCAAACGGAAUAAAACUGCCAAAAAGAUUUUUUUUUCCGGAACAGAAGAUACGCAGAAAGCUUGGGAACCAAGGCAGGGAGUCUCGGGGGAGGCCACAAGCCCUCAUGGCGCGGCCAGGGGGGCCGCGCCUCCCAGGCUUGUGGGCUCCCUGGGCCUCCCCUGCCCUAGCUCCUUCGCCUAUAAAUUACCUAAAAUCCCUAAAAAAUCAGGGGAGCCACGAAAAUACUUUUCCGCUGGGAUUCGGAUACGGAGGGCUUCUUCAUCAACACCAUGACCUCUCCGAUGAUGCGUGAGUAGUUCACCAUAGACCUAUGGGUGCAUAGCUAGUAGCUAGAUGGCUUCUUCUCUCUCUUGGAUCUUCAAUACAAAGUUCUCCAUGAUCUUCAUGGAGAUCUAUCCGAUGUAAUCUUCUUUUGCGGUGUGUUUGUCGAGAUCCGAUGAAUUGUGGAUUUAUGAUCAGAUUAUCUAUGAAUCUUAUUUGAGUUUCUUCUGAUCUCCCUUAUGCAUGAUUUCAUAUCCUUUUAAUUCUCUUCGAGUUGUGGGUUUUGUUUGUCCAACUUGAUCUACGAUUCUUGCAAUGGGAGAAGUGCUUGGUUUUGGGUUCAUACCAUGCGGUGACCUCACCCAGUGAUAGAAGGGGUAGCGAGGCACGCAUCGUGUUGUUGCCAUCAAGGGUAAAAAUAUGGGGUUUUAAUCAUUGGUUUGAGUUUAUGCAUCUACAUCAUGUCAUCUUGCUUAAAGCGUUACUCUGUUCGUCAUGAACUCAAUACACUAGAUGCAUGCCGGAUAGCGGUCGAUGUGUGGAGUAAUAGUAGUAGAUGCAGAAAAUAUCGGUCUACUUGUCUCGAACGUGAUGCCUAUAUGUAUGAUCAUUGCCUUAGAUAUCGUCAUGACUUUGCGUGGUUCUAUCAAUUGCUCGACAGUAAUUUGUUCACCCACCGUAAUAUUUGCUAUUUUGAGAGAAGCCUCUAGUGAACACUAUGGCCCCCGGGUCUACUUCACACCAUAUUUUCAGCCUUACUCUUUUACUUCGUUGCACUUUCCGUCUUCAGACCUCACUUUGCAAUCAAUCCUAAAGGGAUUGACAACCCCUUUAUAGCGUUGGGUGCAAGCUCUUUUGUGUUUGCGCAUGUACUCUGGACUUGACGAGAUUCUCCUACUGGAUUGAUACCUUGGUUCUCAAACUGAGGGAAAUACUUACUGCUCCUGUGCUGCAUCACCCUUUCCUCUUCAAGGGAAAAACCAACGCAAGCCAAGUCUCCGUCAACGUGCCAAUUUCUGACGGUGUUGUUUGAGAAGUAGCAGAAGGAUUUCUGGCGCCGUUGCUGGGGAGGAUCAAGUCAAGAACUCAUCCAAUUAAGUGUCGCAAACUCAUCUCUUGCAUUUACUUUUUUGCCUCUCGUUUUCCUCUCCCCCACUUCUUAAAAACAAAAAUUUACAAAAAUAUUUGCCUUUUUCAUUUGCAUUUUUCGUUCGCCCUUUUCUCCCGCUUGCUUUCUGUUCGCUUGUGUGCUUGCUUGCCUGUUGAAGUCACCAUGACUGAAAAACACCAAAUUUUGUGACUUCUUGAAUACUAAUAAUAAUGAUUUUAUUAGUACUCCGAUUGCUCCUGCCACUAGUGCGGAAUCAUACGAAAUCAAUGCUGCUUUGCUGAAUCUUGUUAUGAAAGAGCAAUUCUCCGGCCUUCCUAGUGAAGAUGCCGCAUCCCAUCUUAAUACCUUCAUUGAGCUUUGCGAUAUGCAAAAGAAGAAAGAUGUAGAUAAUGAUGUGAUUAAAUUGAAGCUUUUUCCUUUCUCGUUGUGAGAUCGAGCAAAAACUUGGUUUUCGUCUUUGCCCAAAAAUAGUAUUGAUUCUUGGAAUAAGUGCAAAGAUGCUUACAUAUCCAAGUAUUUUCCGCCGGCUAAGAUUAUCUCUCUCCGUAAUGAUAUUAUGAAUUUUAAGCAACUUGAUCAUGAACAUGUUACACAAUCUUGGGAGAGAAUGAAAUUGAUGAUUAGAAAUUGUCCCGCUCAUGGCUUGAGUCUUUGGAUGAUUAUACAAAUCUUUUACGCUGGCUUGAAUUUCGCUUCUAGAAAUAUCUUGGACUCCGCCUCGGGUGGAACGUUCAUGGAAAUCACGUUAGGAGAAGCUACAAAACUCCUAGACAAUAUCAUGACGAACUACUCUCGGUGGCACACUGAAAGGUCACCUACUAGUAAGAAGGUACACGCUAUAGAAGAAAUUAACUCGUUGAGUGCUAAGAUGGAUGAGUUAAUGAAUUUGGUUUCUAGUAGAAGUGCUCCUUUAGAUCCUAAUGACAUGCCCUUGUCUUCCUUGAUUGAGAGUAGCAACGCUAGCUUGGACAUUAAUUUUGUUGGUAGGAAUAAUUUUGGCAACAACAAUGCUUUUAGUGGAAACUAUGUUCCUAGGCCUUUUCCUAGUAACCCCUCUAAUAACUUUGGCAACUCCUACAACAAUACUCAUGGAAAUUACAAUAUAUUACCCUCUGAUCUAGAGAGUAAUAUCAAACAGUUUAUCAACUCACAAAAGAUUUUCAAUGCGUCCAUAGAGGAAAAACUACUCAAAAUUGACGAUUUGGCUAGGAGCGUUGAUAGAAUGUCUAGUGAUAUUUAUGCUUUGAAAGUUAGAUGUGCUCCUUCCAAGAUCAAUAUGGAUGCAACUUUGAAAGCUAUGCGUGUUUCCAUGAGUGAGAGCAAAGAAAGAACCGUCCAAAUUCGUGCUAGACAUCAAUGGCUUAAAAGGGCGUGUUCUCGUGAUAAGAAUCACGAAGAUCUUAAAGUGCUUGGUGGGACUCCCAUUGAAUCUUUGUUUUCUUGUGUCAAACCUAAUGAUGAUAGGGCUGGAUAUGAAUCCACUUUGGUUUAAAAACGCCCCAAUGAUUCGGAGUCCAUCUAUCUUGAUGCUAAAAGCAAUAAAAGUGGAGUAGUAGAUAUUAAAACUUUGAGUAGUAAUGAAAUUACUACUUUGGAGUUCAAGGAAUUCAAUUAUGAUAGUUGCUCCUUGAUUGAAUGCAUUUUCUUGAUGCAAUCCGUGCUAAACUCUCCACACGCUUAUAGCCAAAACAAGGCCUUUACCGAUCAUAUCGUCGAAGCUAUGAUAAAAUCUCUUGAAGAGAAACUUGAAUUGGAAGUUUCUAUCCCUAGAAAGCUUCAUGAUGAGUGGGGACCUACUAUCAAAAUCAAAAUCAAAAACUAUGAAUGCAAUGCUUUGUGUGAUUUGGGUGCUAGUGUUUCCGCGAUUCCAAAGUCUUUAUGUGAUGUUCUGGGUUUUAAUGAGAUUGAGGAGUGUUCUCUUAAUUUGCAUCUUGCGGAUUCUAAGAAUUUUCCUAGAAAGAAAAUAAGAUUGCCUUAUGAAUCCAUGAUGAGGGCUACUUAUGGUUUGAGCACCAAACACGAUGAUGCGUGAUUCUAUCGCCUUAUGCCUAGCUAAGGGCGUUAAACAAUAGCGCUUGUUGGGAGGCAACCCAAUGAAUUUAUCUUUUUCUUUCUGUUUUGUUGCGUCCACACCAUCAUAAUUCUGUUAUGAUUGUGUCUUUUGUGUUUCUUUUUGUGUUUGAGCCUAGCAAAACCUUUAUGACUAGUCUUGGUGAUGGUUGUUUGGUCCUGCUGGAAAAAGAUAGAAACUUUUCGCUCACGAGAUUAUUUUUCAUUUUUAUUCAUAAAGAGAUUUUGAGUUGAUUAUUUUUGCUGCUGGUUGAUAUGCCUUUUUCCCAAGCAGUCGUAAUGUUUCAGAAUUUUUGAGGUACCAGAAUUAUACGAAGUAUACAGAUUGCUACAGACUGGUCUGUUUUGACAGAUUCUGUUUUUUGAGUUGGUUGCUUGUUUUGAUGAAACUAUGGAUAGUAUCGGGGGGGUACUAGCCAUGGAAAAGUGAGAAUACAGUAAUAUAACACCAUUAUGAAUAGAAAUCAAGUUUGCUACAGUACCUAAAGAGGUGGUAGUUUGUUUUCUUGUGCUAAUGAUAUCACGAGUUUCUGUUUAAGUUUUGUGUUGUGAAGUUUUCAUGUUUUGGGUGAUGUUUUCAUGGACAAAGGGAUAAAGAGUGGAAAGAGCUCAAGCUUGGGGAUGCCCAAGGCAUCCCAAGCCAAAUUCAAGGACACCAAAAAGCCUAAGCUUGGGGAUGCCCCGGGAAGGCAUCCCCUCUUUCGUCUUCAAUCCAUCGGUAACAUUACUUGGAGCUAUAUUUUUAUUCACCACAUGAUAUGUGUUUUGCUUGGAGCGUCUUGUAUCGUAGGAGUCUUUUAUUUUUGUUGUGUCACAAUCAUCCUUGCUGCAAUACAUUUUCUAAGAGAGAAGCACCUACUCAUGUGUUUAUAUCUAGAUAUUGCAUUCCUAUCAUGUGAUUCUUGACUUCUAGCCUUUCCAAGUUGCUUUCCACCCAAUCAACCUCUUCCACCAUGCCAAAUCCUAUGAGAGAGUGGUUGAGUGUUGAGGAGACUAUCUUUUGAAGCACAAGAGCAAGGAGUUCAUCAUCUAUACACCAUCUAUUAACUUUUGGAGAGUGGUGUCUCCUAGAUUGGUUAGGUGUUGCUUAGGAGCCUCCAAAUCUUGUGGAGUUGAACCAAGAAGUUUGUAAGGGCAAAGAGACCGCCUACUUCAUGAAGAUCUACCUUGAGUGAGGCUAGUCCUUCGUGGACGUAAGUCAUGAUGGAAUAGACAAUGUUGCUUCUUCGUUGACCCUUAAUGGUGGGAUCUCUCCAUGGACUCGCGCAACAGUUACCCUCCAUGGGUUGAAGUCUACACAAAUGUGGAUGUCCAAUAGCACCACCUAUCGGAACCAUGCCAAACAUAUUCGUGUCUUCAUUGUGUUUGAUCUUCCACCUCUACCAUCCUUUAUGUUUCUUGCAAAUGCAUGAUAUUUGCAUCCUGUUCCUUGAUCUCUAGAUAUGCAUGUGUAGGAACUAUUGGAUGCAACUUAACAUCUGCAAAAAUCUGCCUAAAACUCAAGCAAAUCAAAAACUGCUCAUAUGUCUUGUUAGGUGUCUAUUCACCCCCCUCUAGACGCCACUUCUCGGUCCUACAAUAAGAGGAAGGGGAGGAGGGAGCGGAGCACCUCAGCACAGCAGGCGACAGUGAAAAAUAAUUAGAGAGGGGCUUGACGGUGGCAGGGUGAGGAUGUGAAAUGGAGAAGGAGAGUGGACACAUAUUAUAAGGAUCAUGUACACAAGAACAUUGACCAGUCGGAGAAGGUUCGUAUUGUCCUACUAGGUAUCAAGGAGUGGUGCGAACACAUCAUCACUCACUAGUUGAUUCUCGGUCGGUCAGUGAUAUCCCUCCAGCUGAGCCCUCGGGUCCCUAUCACUGACACCUCCAGGAAGUCUGACCAAUGAUGACACUCAUCACUAAUGAGUUGUCUUGGAAAUCUCAGUGAUGAGGGGUCAGUGCUAAAAUGUAUUCUAAUAAUGGAGUUGGAGAGUCUCCAAUUAGAAUUUUAUAAGCUAUGGAGACACUAAAGUCGAUAUCAAUCUAUUGCUAAGCCCUAGUGUCAAAUGUUGCCUGAAGCCAAUGUUACCCACAAGAUUCUCUAGUUGUUGCAUUCGGUUAAGGGCUCCGUCGAACAAAGUGAGAUGGAAGAGCAAUGUGUAUGUUGCUGCUGGACUACCUACUAGAUGGAUAUAUUAUUUCUUUUGGCAUAAUAAUAGAGGCGAGGACACAAAUUCUUAAGGAUAUAAGGGAUCCACUUAUCUUAUCAUAGCAUAAUGUAUUGUGUUUUGCAAUGAGCUAUGGACUUAAAAGAAUCAAGGAGCUUUGGCAGCCCCUCCACUAGAAGGAUGCAUGUUUAAUUUGUUUGUAGUAAGACCAGGUUAAUGGUAAGCUUCUCAGAUAGCUUGACCCGGGAAAAGUUAUGCUUAUUGUGGAACGUGUGAAUAUGUUUCAUUAACGCACAUUCAUUCUUAGAUUGUUCAUCCCUAAACCUCCUUGGUCUUUGGCUUGGAUACUAGCUCUUAGCCGGCUAGAUGUGGAUUUUUCUAUAUCACAUCAUUAUGUGCCCAAAGUUAGUGUCUCAUAUAUUUAUCCACUUCUUCAAUUAUCCCAUUAUAUACUUUGAGGUAGCUUAAUAAGAAUAUGGGAAAAUAAGAUAGAACGACAUUAACCACUCGGAGCAUGCCACAAUAGAUAAAGAAAUGAGCCCAUCCGGAAAGCCUUCUUUGGAUUCUGGAUAUGAGUGACAUGAAGAACUCAUUCGGUUUAGUAGUACUCAGGGGCAAUUCAAGAUAAGUGAAAGGAUGGGUAUCAAGUUGGAAUUGCAUAACAAAAAUGAAAAUUUGAACCCUCCCUUCAGGUGUUUUUAUUGGGAACAUGUUGACUUGGUGUAGUUUACUUUGUGCCAAGUUUUUAGGGCAAUUUUGUGAAGAAGGCCUUGCAAAUUCUUCAAUUGGGACUCACUGAUUGACAUAAUAAUACACUUCUCAUCUGGAUACUACAUGAUAUGGUUGGGUAGAUUUGGCAGGAUUGCAAUGGCAGAGGCCUUGCCAAAGUCCUUUGAGCAAGAGCCUCAUUGAUGGCAAACUUAAGUAUAUUAGCACGUAUAAAAUGUAGAAGAGGGUGGACGAGAUCUCCUUGUCUAACUUCCAUUUUACAUUUAAAGGUAGGUCCUGGAACUCCAUUUUCCUCCAUCUUAUUAAUUUACCUGGGGAAAAGCUCCAAUUAUAAGAAAAUUGGACAAAAAUCAUGAGCAUAGCUAGUCCAAGAGCCUCAUGCUUCAACACUACAACUCUUGGUGCUCAACCUCAGCUCGAGACAUCACAUUCAAGGACAAGGCCAACUAUACAGACUUCACAUGCACAGAAUAUAUAUAUCAAGGCGAUUCACAAACUUUCAUUGCCAUCACCCAUAUAUCUCAUCCGACCCAAUAACUUUGAGACGAACACUAGUCAUGCAUUGAGCAUAGGUGCUCGGAAAUUUACCAUUUGAAUGCACUACAUACUCCCUCCAUCCCAAAAAUCUUGUCUUAGGUUUGUCUAGAAAUGGAGGUAUCUAAAUACUAAAAUGUGACUAGAUACCUUCAUAUGUAGAUAAAUCUAAGACAAGAAUUUUGGGACGGAGGGAGUAAUAAGGUACUGCAUCCAGAAAGGAAAUACCAAACCAAUACGGAUAUAGUACCUCCGUCUAGAAAUAUCUACAAAGGAAAUACCGGACCAAUACGGAUAUAGUACCACCAUCUAAAAAUAUAAUAGGUAUAUGAACAGUCGACGUGUUAGAACUUUGAAUAGAUUGAGCAUGCAAGAAUAAUACUCCAUCCGUUCCUAAAUAUAAGUCCUUUCAGAUAUUUCACUACGGAUUAUAUACGAAACAAAAUGAGUAAUCACACUCCAUUUAGCCUUGGAACCAUUUGCCGAGGAGGGCCCUAUUCUUAAUCUCAAGGUCAUGAAUGCCCAACCCGCCUUGGUCUUUGGGACGGAAAAUCACACUCCAUUUAGCCCGUCGAUAUUUCUUCCUCUUACUAUCUCCUUGCCAAAAGAAUCUUGAUCGGAAGUAAUCCAAUCUAAGUAAAACUCCUUUCGGCAAUUAAAAGAAGGAAAUCAUAUAUAGUACCAUAUUACUUAGUACGGAAUUUAUGAGGACCAAUCUACCACCCAGAGACAGCAGUUUACCUUUCCAACUGCUAAGUCUUUUUUGCACCCUCUCCUCAACGUGUUUCCAUUCAGAAUUUGUGAGUCUCCGAUAUUGUAUCGGUAUCCCCAAAUAUGUGAUUGGAAACUGGUGUUGGGUAACGUAGUAUGAACUCCCACUUAAAUCGACAUCCCUCUAGUCAUCUAAGUGAUACAUGAUCCAUGUUGACUAACCCGUGUCCGAUCAUCACGUGAGACGGACUAGUCACCAUGGUGAGCAACUUCAUGCUGAUCGUAUUCAACCAUACGACUCAUGUUCGACCUUUCGGUCUCUUGUAUUCAAGGUCAUGUCUGUACAUGCUAAGCUCGUCGAGUCAACCUAGGUGUUUCGCGUGUGUAAAUCUGGCUUACACCCGUUGUAUGUGAACGUUAGAAUCUAUCACACCCGAUCAUCACGUGGUGCUUCGAGACAACGAUCCUUUGCAACGGUGCACACCUAGGGGAAUACGUUCUCGAAAUUUUAAGAGGGAUCAUCUUAUUAUGCUACCGUCGUUCUAAGCAAUAAGAUGAAAAACAUGAUAAACAUCACAAUGCAAUCAUAUAGUGACAUGAUAUGGCCAUUAUCAUCUUUGCUCUUUCGAUCUCCAUCUUCAGGCAUCGCAUGAUCAUCAUCGUCACCGGCGUGACACCAUGAUCUCCAUCAUCAUGAUCUCCAUCAUCGUGUCUCCGUGAAGUCAUCACGCCAACUACUACUAUCACUACUACUAUAGCUAACCGUUAGCAAUAAAGUAAAAGUAGUAAGCACAUGGUGUUGCAUCUCAUACAAUAAAUUAUGACAACUCCUAUGGCUCCUGCCGGUUGUCAUACUCAUCGACAUGCAAGUCGUGAAACCUAUUACAAUAACAUGAUCAUCUCAUACAUCAUACAUGCAACAUCACAACUUUGGCCAUAUCACAUCACANNNNNNNNNNNNNNNNNNNNNNNNNNNNNNNNNNNNNNNNNNNNNNNNNNNNNNNNNNNNNNNNNNNNNNNNNNNNNNNNNNNNNNNNNNNNNNNNNNNNCCCCNCCCAAAAAAAAAUUCCUCUCAAGAUAGAAAUGAAAAUUGUGGCGCUAUAUUUACCCGCAAACAAAAAAAAAGAACCGUCCACUGUACAAAAUGGGGAAGAAUUAGAUCCGGCGAGUGGCCGCUCGCCGGCACGCGCUUGCCUUGCGGGGCCCACGCACCGCUCUAUCCCCCCCCCUUNNNNNNNNNNNNNNNNNNNNNNNNNNNNNNNNNNNNNNNNNNNNNNNNNNNNNNNNNNNNNNNNNNNNNNNNNNNNNNNNNNNNNNNNNNNNNNNNNNNNNNNNNNNNNNNNNNNNNNNNNNNNNNNNNNNNNNNNNNNNNNNNNNNNNNNNNNNNNNNNNNNNNNNNNNNNNNNNNNNNNNNNNNNNNNNNNNNNNNNNNNNNNNNNNNNNNNNNNNNNNNNNNNNNNNNNNNNNNNNNNNNNNNNNNNNNNNNNNNNNNNNNNNNNNNNNNNNNNNNNNNNNNNNNNNNNNNNNNNNNNNNNNNNNNNNNNNNNNNNNNNNNCCCCCCCCCUUGUUAUCUUUGUCUUCACCGAACAACCUUAUCCAUGCAUUCCCCGGUGUUGACUCCAUCUUCUCCUUCUUUUUCUAUCUCUCCCUUGUGUCCCCCGUCUCCGUUGCGGUCAAACACGGGGGUCAUGUGCCUUCCCUAGGAGGCCAACGCCCCCCCCCCUUUCCUCCUAUCUCUUCGAUGGCUCCACACUGCGAAGCUCCGUCGACACCCCACUCUUUGCGGCUCUUGUGCUUCCUGGCGCACCUUCACUUCCUCNNNNNNNNNNNNNNNNNNNNNNNNNNNNNNNNNNNNNNNNNNNNNNNNNNNNNNNNNNNNNNNNNNNNNNNNNNNNNNNNNNNNNNNNNNNNNNNNNNNNNNNNNNNNNNNNNNNNNNNNNNNNNNNNNNNNNNNNNNNNNNNNNNNNNNNNNNNNNNNNNNNNNNNNNNNNNNNNNNNNNNNNNNNNNNNNNNNNNNNNNNNNNNNNNNNNNNNNNNNNNNNNNNNNNNNNNNNNNNNNNNNNNNNNNNNNNNNNNNNNNNNNNNNNNNNNNNNNNNNNNNNNNNNNNNNNNNNNNNNNNNNNNNNNNNNNNNNNNCUUCACUUCCUCUAGAGCCUCCUCACAUAGCUCUGCUCUGAGUUGUCACAAGGUCAAUGGAGGACAGGCGACGCAGCCAAGUGGCAAGCCCUUGACUCGCUCUUUUGGUUAUUUUUCUAUCUCUCUCACGUGAUCCUCUGCCACUGUUGCGGGCAAACCUAGUGUUCAUGUGUCUUCGCAAGCCGGCCAACAACCUCCUCUCCAUCUAUCGCUCUCGCGAAUCCACGCUUCAGCGUUCCACCGACACCCCACUUCUUUACGGCUCUUGUGCUCACUCUCGCACCUUCACUUCCUCNNNNNNNNNNNNNNNNNNNNNNNNNNNNNNNNNNNNNNNNNNNNNNNNNNNNNNNNNNNNNNNNNNNNNNNNNNNNNNNNNNNNNNNNNNNNNNNNNNNNNNNNNNNNNNNNNNNNNNNNNNNNNNNNNNNNNNNNNNNNNNNNNNNNNNNNNNNNNNNNNNNNNNNNNNNNNNNNNNNNNNNNNNNNNNNNNNNNNNNNNNNNNNNNNNNNNNNNNNNNNNNNNNNNNNNNNNNNNNNNNNNNNNNNNNNNNNNNNNNNNNNNNNNNNNNNNNNNNNNNNNNNNNNNNNNNNNNNNNNNNNNNNNNNNNNNNNNNNNNNNNNNNNNNNNNNNNNNNNNNNNNNNNNNNNNNNNNNNNNNNNNNNNNNNNNNNNNNNNNNNNNNNNNNNNNNNNNNNNNNNNNNNNNNNNNNNNNNNNNNNNNCGUGCUGCUGCAAAGCGGGUGGAGCUACAUGGGCGUCCAACAGCACUGUUGCGAUGGACAAUCACCGGUAUUGUGACAGAAGAGCCUACCAGUGUCAUGACAGAUGGCCACAGGGCGAUACGGCAGGCGGCAACCGGCGGAAUGAGGCGUGUGGCACUCGUGGUGGAACACAACGAUACUUUAUGCUAGAACUAACAUUCGAUAGUUCGUCGACGAUGGGUUAGUGAUGUUGCUUUUUCAUCUAGAGAGCUAAGCGGCAACGAUAGGGUAAUGCUUGAACCAGCGAUCGCUCGUACUGGAAACGACGCCUAGGCAUGUUGGGUGACGCAUUGGCACAACACACACUGAUGCUAGAAUCGGUGGCUCGGCGUGUUGCAAGGAGGCAACGGUGAAUCAUGAUGUUGGAACUAACUGUUGGGGAAUGUCGCAUGGGAAACAAANNNNNNNNNNNNNNNNNNNNNNNNNNNNNNNNNNNNNNNNNNNNNNNNNNNNNNNNNNNNNNNNNNNNNNNNNNNNNNNNNNNNNNNNNNNNNNNNNNNNUGAUCCCGUUAUCAAGUGACAACACUUGCCUAUGGUCAGGAAACCUUGAGCAUCUUUCAUCAACGAGCUAGUCAACUAGAGGCUUACUAGGGACAGUGUUUUGUCUAUGUAUCCACACAUGCACUGUGUUUCCAAUCAAUACAAUUAUAGCAUGGAUAAUAAACGAUUAUCAUGAACAAAGAAAUAUAAUAAUAACUAAUUUAUUAUUGCCUCUAGGGCAUAUUUCCAACACAUAGCUAGUAGCUAGAUGGCUUCUUCUCUCUCUUGGAUCUUCAAUACAAAGUUCUCCAUGAUCUUCAUGGAGAUCUAUCUGAUGUAAUCUUCUUUUGCGGUGUGUUUGUCGAGAUCCGAUGAAUUGUGGAUUUAUGAUCAGAUUAUCUAUGAAUCUUAUUUGAGUUUCUUCUAAUCUCUCUUAUGCAUGAUUUCAUAUCCUUGUAAUUCUCAUCGAGUUGUGGGUUUUGUUUGGCCAACUAGAUCUAUGAUUCUUGCAAUGGGAGAAGUGCUUGGUUUUGGGUUCAUACCGUGCGUUGACCUCACCCACUGACAGAAGGGGUAGCAAGGCACGCAUCGUGUUGUUGCCAUCAAGGGUAAAAAGAUGGGGUUUUCAUCAUUGGUUUGAGAUUAUCCCUCUACAUCAUGUCAUCUUGCUUAAGGCGUUACUCUGUUCGUCAUGAAUUCAAUACACUAGAUGCAUGCUGGAUAGCGGUCGAUGUGUGGAGUAAUAGUAGUAGAUGCAGAAAGUAUCGGUCUACUUGUCUCGGACGUGAUGCCUAUAUGUAUGAUCAUUGCCUUAGAUAUCGUCAUGACUUUGCACGGUUCUAUCAAUUGCUCGACAGUAAUUUGUCCACCCACCGUAAUACUUGCUAUUUUGAUAGAAGCUGUCGUGGAUAUAAGUCUGACAGUAGAUGUGUAGGGUACGAAAGGAUGGGCAGAGCCUUAGCUACGGCGAGGUUGUAUGAGUUCAGGCCCCUCUACCAUGGAGGUAACAGCCCUACGUCUCAGUGCUCUUGGGAGCUUGAUGUCGAGUGGAAUAUGGAUUACCGUGAAUUGCUAACCCCUGCACCAGUGGGGAAGGGCGACUUAUAUAGAGUGCGCUGCCCUUCACAACGGUUCGGUGCACAGGGGUGGAGUAGUGGCAAUUAAAUGUCUACGUUACAGGUAACGUAUGCCUUAAAUGCUAAUAAAGGUACAUGAAAACGUAUGACCGUUGCCCUCCAGGUGGGUUACGAUGUACAGAGUGGAAUCCAGUCGGUAAAUUUGAUACGCUCCGAAUGCUCAUCUCCGACUGGAUGAUGGAGGAAUCAUCACCGACUGGAUGAUGGGAAGUCCUUAAUUCAGUCGGAACUGACUAAGGGCCUUGUCCCUUAUGAAGGGUAGUCCUUGGGUAGGACCUAUAGGGCAGGCCUAUGACCCUACCCUAGGACUAUAACCCCAUCAUUAGUCCCCGAAUGGAUCGGGGUUGGAACGACGAAGCGAUGCUUGGAGUACGGAUCCGACUGGUGUGGAUGCGACUUUGGCGUUGUUUGCCUCGAUCCAUUUUAUCCUCUUGACCAGUGAUCCGAGUGGAUAUAUCUGUGAAACGAACCGUCAGAGACCGAGUGCUUUCAUGGAAUCUUUUGACGUGACCGACAUCGUCAUCGGCAGGAGUGGAUUUUCUGGGAUCCUCAAAUUUCGGUUGUCGCGCGCUCAGCGGGGAUGACGACAUCGUCAUCGAGUAGUAUCUGCCGCCUCGAUUUCCGUGCCUUCAUCUCCUCCACUAGUAUCGCAGCAACCGGUCGGGGGAUAAGAUUUCGGGGCCACCUGCUAGUGACCCAGUCGGAACCUUAUUUAAACCUCUCCAGCGAGGGUUUCUUGUUGCACUCGCCUGAUAACUCGCACUCGCCCCGCUUCUCCCGUGGCUUCCUGCGCACCCCAAGCUCCUUCCUUCUUCUCCUCCUCCGCGGAUCUGCAGCCUCCACCAUGAGGAAGGGGCAGACGAGCAAGCUCGAGGCGCGGAAGAAGAAGAAGACGGCGGUUCCCGCUCAACGGCGACAACGGGCACUGCCGGCGGGUUGGAUCCAGGGGGAUUUCCCCCCCUCCAGAGUGACGAAGAGCGACAUGCUGGAGCUGGUGGAGCAAGGCCUGAUCGAGAACAAGACGUGGAGGCUGCCGGCGGAGGGCGAGACGGAGCCGGCGCCCCAGGAGGGGGAGCGCGUCUUGCUGCUCAGUCACGUGUACCGAGACUUCUCUCUACCUCCUCAUCCCUUCUUCAGAGGUAUAAUGAACCACUUCGGGGCGCAGCUCCACCAUUUUCCUCCCAGCGCAAUAGCUCAUCUCUCUGCCUUCGUCGUGCUUUGCGAGUGUUUUAUCGGUUGUCCUCCUCAUUGGGGGCUCUUUAAGCACAUCUUCUCCGCUAGAUCCCAAACCAUCAAAAGACUUAGCCAGUCGGACGACAAAACUCAUCUCCUCCAGCUCUGCGGAGGCUUAGGCUUCCAGAAGAAAAGCAAAAGUAGCUAUCCCGCUCUUUAGUUGUCUGAAUCCGUUAGGAACUGGCAGUCGACUUGGUUCUACUACAUGGACGUCGCUUGUCCGAAUGCCGCAACUGGACUGCCACCUUUUAGCCUAGACCGACCGGCUCCGCCUAGGCAGCUUGCGCUCACGAAUAUGGAAAAGAUCUAGAUUCAGCCUCUGGUCGACGCGCUGGUAGAUGUCGUCCGCAAGGGAGUCACCGGCACAGAUUUGCUGGAGAUUUUUCUGGGUCGGCGUAUCCAGCCUUUGCAAGCUCGACACCACGCCAUGUGGCACUACACGGGGCCUGAGGACUCCACUCGGACUCACCCCGAGUGCGUGACCCGGGAGGUUGUGACGGCGUGGAUCCGCAGCAUCACAAGCGCCUGCGAUAACCCCAGAGGAGCGCGACGAGUGAAGCCCUUCCGCGCGGACAACCCUCCU